rnacentral:rRNA from 1 species
UGGCGGCGCGUUUAAGCAUGCAAGUCGAGCGGCAAGGGCCCUUCGGGCCCCUAGAGCGGCGGACGGGUGAGUAACACGUGGACAAUCUGCCCCCCGGCCCGGGAGUAGCCCAGGGAAACCUGGAUUAAUACCGGAUGAGACGGGACCUGCGAUGGCGGGAUCCGGGAAAGGCGCUACGGCGCCGCCGGGGGAUGAGUCUGCGUCCCAUUAGCUAGACGGCGGGGUAACGGCCCACCGUGGCGACGAUGGGUAGCCGGCCUGAGAGGGUGGACGGCCACAUUGGAACUGAGACACGGUCCAGACUCCUACGGGAGGCAGCAGCUAAGAAUCUUCCGCAAUGGGCGAAAGCCUGACGGAGCGGAACCGCCGCGUGAACGAAGAAGGCCGUGAGGUUGUAAAGUUCUUUUCGGGAGGGGGAACAACCGUGGCAGGGAAUGGCCGCGGGAUGACGUGAAUCCCGGAAUAAGCCCCGGCUAACUACGUGCCAGCCGCCGC